rnacentral:rRNA from 1 species
GUCCACGCCCUAACGAUGAUUACUCGACGUUGGCGAUACACUGAUCAGCGUCCAAGCGAAGCAUUAAGUAAUCCACCUGGGAAGUACGUUCGCAAGAAUGAACUCAAGGAAUUGACGGGGUCCGCACAAGCGGUGGAGCAUGUGGUUUAAUUCGAUGAUACGCGAGGAACCUUACCUGGGCUAGAAUGCAGUCUGACCGGUGGUGAAAGCCAUUUUGUUAGCAAUACACAGAUUGUAAGGUGCUGCAUGGCUGUCGU